rnacentral:rRNA from 1 species
AUGGAGCCGACCUUGAAAUACCACCCUUUAAUGUUUGAUGUUCUAACGUUGACCCGUAAUCCGGGUUGCGGACAGUGUCUGGUGGGUAGUUUGACUGGGGCGGUCUCCUCCUAAAGAGUAACGGAGGAGCACGAAGGUUGGCUAAUCCUGGUCGGACAUCAGGAGGUUAGUGCAAUGGCAUAAGCCAGCUUGACUGCGAGCGUGACGGCGCGAGCAGGUGCGAAAGCAGGUCAUAGUGAUCCGGUGGUUCUGAAUGGAAGGGCCAUCGCUCAACGGAUAAAAGGUACUCCGGGGAUAACAGGCUGAUACCGCCCAAGAGUUCAUAUCGACGGCGGUGUUUGGCACCUCGAUGUCGGCUCAUCACAUCCUGGGGCUGAAGUAGGUCCCAAGGGUAUGGCUGUUCGCCAUUUAAAGUGGUACGCGAGCUGGGUUUAGAACGUCGUGAGACAGUUCGGUCCCUAUCUGCCGUGGGCGCUGGAGAACUGAGGGGGGCUGCUCCUAGUACGAGAGGACCGGAGUGGACGCAUCACUGGUGUUCGGGUUGUCAUGCCAAUGGCACUGCCCGGUAGCUAAAUGCGGAAGAGAUAAGUGCUGAAAGCAUCUAAGCACGAAACUUGCCCCGAGAUGAGUUCUCCCUGACUC